UGCAUUGAGUUGUGAACUAUGAAUUGUACAAUCACACGACCAUAAGUCCCUUUAAGGGCGACGAGUUAAUGCUAAGUCUCUUUUAGGGCGACGAGUUGAUGCUAAGUCCCUUUUUGGGCGACGAGUUAAUGUUAAGUCCCUUUAAAGGCGACGAGUUAAUGUUAAGUCCCUUUAAAGGCGACGAGUUAAUGAUAAGACCCUUAAA
rnacentral:lncRNA from 1 species